UACGUAGGUGGCAAGCGUUGUCCGGAUUUACUGGGCGUAACGAGCGCGCAGGCGGUCGUUCAAGUCGCGUGUGAAAGCCCCCGGCUCAACUGGGGAGGGUCACGCGAUACUGAUCGACUCGAAGGCAGGAGAGGGUAGUGGAAUUCCCGGUGUAGUGGUGAAAUGCGCAGAUAUCAGGAGGAACACCGGUGGCGAAGGCGGAUCUCUGGGCCUUACCUGACGCUGAGGCGCGAAAGCUAGGGGAGCGAACAGG
rnacentral:rRNA from 1 species